rnacentral:rRNA from 1 species
AAAACUUUCAACAACGGAUCUCUUGGUUCUGGCAACGAUGAAGAACACAGCCAAAUGUGAUAAGCAAUGCGAAUCGCACUCAGUGAAUCAUCGGAUUUUUGAACGCACAUUGCGCUUAGUGGCAUGCCGCUAAGCACGUCUGUUCGAGCGUCAUU